rnacentral:rRNA from 1 species
UGGGGAAUAUUGCGCAAUGGGGGGAACCCUGACGCAGCAACGCCGCGUGAAGGAUGAAGGCUUUCGGGUUGUAAACUUCUUUGAUGAGGGACGAAAGAAAUGACGGUACCUCAAAAACAAGCCACGGCUAACUACGUGCCAGCAGCCGCGGUAAUACGUAGGUGGCGAGCGUUGUCCGGAAUUACUGGGUGUAAAGGGCGUGUAGGCGGGGAUGCAAGUCAGAUGUGAAAUGCCGGGGCUUAACUCCGGAGCUGCAUCUGAAACUGUGUUCUUGAGUGUCGGAGAGGAAAGCGGAAUUCCCAGUGUAGCGGUGAAAUGCGUAGAUAUUGGGAGGAACACCAGUGGCGAAGGCGGCUUUCUGGACAAUAACUGACGCUGAGGCGCGAAAGCGUGGGGAGCAAACAGGAUUAGAUACCCUGGUAGUCACGCUGUAAACGAUGGAUACUAGGUGUAGGAGGUAUCGACCCCUUCUGUGCCGGAGUUAACACAAUAAGUAU